AGCACCCAAAAGUCACAUCACUUUGUGAACAAGGUAAAAUCUGUCAAGAAGGCUUAGAAAUCUACGCUGGCACUUCAACCCCUUUGUCCACACCAUUAUCCUCCCCACCCUGGUGUUUAACUGGAGCUUCUAACCCAGUACUUGGUUUGUCAUGGAAAUGACUGAGCAGAUCUCAGGGACUGAACCUCUCAUUUUGCUUCCAAAGAACUUCUCCUUACCAAGGUGGGGUGACGCUGUUCAGCAAAUGGGCAGAGCAACAAGCAGUGCUGUUGCAGGAAAGCAAUUCCUUGGUUCCUUGGUGCGAUUUCCUGAACUUGCAUAGGACACCAGGUUUCUGGAAAUUUACUGAGAAAAAGUCUCACAGCAUCCUCAGUGACAACAAGCCUCACAAAUUGUACCUCCUGUUUGAGUGCCCUUCAGCACAGAACAAAACACCCCGUCCUGCCUCUGUAGCUGCUCUGAGAUCUGUUAUCUCUGAAAAUACUGGUUUCAGGUGUGGGCUGGAAAGUGAGUAAGACUUGCUGAGGCUGCUCUUAAGUUUAUGGGAGCCUUUGCCAUAACAUUAUGGAAUGUUGCAAGACUCCCUACAGGUAGCAAGAAGUUAAAAUCUCCCUAAUGCUAAUGGAUUCUUUGUAAAGAAGCAAUUUUUCAAUUAUACAUAAUUAAUAGUAAUUACUCUUUAUCUUCAGAGACCAGAACAAAGAAUAAUUAAUCCAUCUUAACAUCCCUGUUAAGGAGCUAUUAAAUAUGGGGGUUUUAUACAGCAGAUUACUUAGUAACUUAUGUGGCCCGCAGUUCAGUCUGUGUUCCCUAAUGCAGAAAGGAAAGAGAAAAGAAUCCUGAACUAUCUGAACUAAUAUUUUAGUUCUUGCAUCAAUUUAAUUAACUAAUUUGGAAACAGCUGUUUCCUUCUUGCAGCAGCUUGCUGCAAAUGAAGUGUGCUGCCUACAGAUCUCUCAUUUAGAGAAGCAGUUUUACUACAUUUUAUAAAUAAUAACAUUCAAUUGGACAGUUUACUAAUUUUAACAUAUAUCUAUGAGUAAAGUAUUUGCAAUUAUUCCUGUUGUAGAGCUGGUGAAAACGAAGCUCACAAUUUUAGGGCCAGCUUCUCACUUGGCACAUCACCUUUUUUGUACUGCUCUUCUCUCACGCUGGUUUUCGCUGCACAGGAGACUCCUGAUCCUGUGUCCAUGUCAGACAGCACGUGCCAAACUCACAGACACUCGUGCCCUUUAUCAGAUCUUAAAAUUUGGCUUCAAUCUUCCAAAGUGGCUUCCAAUUUCCGAUAUCUUAAUGGAAGCUCAGCUUACAACUCAUGGGAUGUCUCUCAGAGCACACAGUCCCUAUUAAUCUGAACUGCAAUGUCCUGUUCUUGACUAUUAAAAAAAAAAGAAAGAAAUGUGAAUUUACUAUUUUCAUCCUAAACAAGUAGUGCAAGACCACACUGCAAGCACUGAAAGAGGCAGAAGCAGAAUUUGCUUCAAACACAUGGCUUUGCAAGACAAUUACUCCACGUGGCAGGAUGACAGCAAAGAUGAGGGCAGUGCUGCAGGCAGCACGUGUGGCAGCUCAUGUGGCAGCUCUGACAGACCAGCAGCCUCUGACCCAUGACAGCUUGGGUGUCCAGAAAGCUCUGACUGGUGAUUACAUGUUAAGGUGAUAAAAAAGGAUAGCUUUUAUUCCUACAUGUAUUGAUCCAAGGGAACCUGAGCUCAAAAGGGAGGAGUACAGAGCUAUGGAAAAUGGGAGAGUAAAAAGGGACCAAAGGGAGAAGGAGAAUGUCCCAAAUGUUAAAUGAAAGCAUCUGCAUGAAAGGCUCCAGGCCAGCAGGCUCACAGAAUGCACUCUUCUGUCUCAGUGACCUUGUGAAGAUAAACUGAACAAAAAGCUUCGGGCAACAUCAGACAGGAUUUAAGAAGCAGUUUUAAUUUUAGCCAGAUUGGUUUGUAUUUUCGGCUGCGGGGUUAUCUGGGGAUGCAAUGUGCAUCCAGUGGAACAAAAUGUAGUUGUCACCCCCAACUCUAAUACUGCACCUGAUGGCAAAUUCAGUUCUGUGUUUCCAGGGGGAAGCAAAAAUCAUGGUGUUGGCCACACAGUGGUAUC